UACGUAGGGUGCAAGCGUUAAUCGGAAUUACUGGGCGUAAAGCGUGCGCAGGCGGCUUUGCAAGACAGAUGUGAAAUCCCUCGGCUUAACCGGGGAACUGCGUCUGAUACUGGAUGGCUUGAGUUUGGGAGAGGGAUGCGGAAUUCCAGGUGUAGCGGUGAAAUGCGUAGAUAUCUGGAGGAACACCGGUGGCGAAGGCGGCAUCCUGGACCAACACUGACGCUGAUGAGCGAAAGCCAGGGGAGCAAACGGG
rnacentral:rRNA from 1 species